GCCGGUGAUUUACUUAGGUGUGAACCACUCCUUCCCAUUUCGAACAGGAUAGUGAAAGCAUCUAAGCUCGAUGAUACUAUUUGUUUCGGCAGAUGGGAAAGUAGAGUUCGCCGGCU
rnacentral:rRNA from 4 species